rnacentral:rRNA from 1 species
UACGUAGGGGGCGAGCGUUGUCCGGAAUCAUUGGGCGUAAAGCGCGUGUAGGCGGCCCGGUAAGUCCGCUGUGAAAGUCCAGGGCUCAACCCUGGGAUGCCGGUGGAUACUGUCGGGCUCGAGUCCGGAAGGGGCGAGUGGAAUUCCUGGUGUAGCGGUGAAAUGCGCAGAUAUCAGGAGGAACACCAAUGGCGAAGGCAGCUCGCUGGGACGUGACUGACGCUGAGACGCGAAAGCGUGGGGAGCAAACAGG